GAAAUGCGAUAAGUAAUGUGAAUUGCAGAAUUCAGUGAAUCAUCGAAUCUUUGAACGCACCUUGCGCUCCUUGGUAUUCCUUGGAGCAUGCCCGUUUGAGUAUCAUGAAAUCUUCAAAGUAAAUCUUUUGUUAACUCAAUUGGUUUCUACUUUGGUAUUGGAGGUCUUUGCAGCUUCACACCUGCUCCUCUUUGUUCAUUAGCUGGAUCUCAGUGUUAUGCUUGGUUCCACUCGGCGUGAUAAGUUAUCUAUCUCUGAGGACACUGUAAAAGGUGGCCAAGGUAAAUGCAGAUGAACCGCUUCUAAUAGUCCAUUGACUUGGACAAUACUUUUAUGAUCUGAUCUCAAAUCAGGUAGGACUACCCGCUGAACUUAAGC
rnacentral:misc_RNA from 1 species